rnacentral:rRNA from 1 species
CAGUAGCCGCGGGAAUACAGAGGGUGCGAGCGUUAAUCGGAUUUACUGGGCGUAAAGCGUGCGUAGGCGGCUUCUUAAGUCGGAUGUGAAAUCCCUGAGCUUAACUUAGGAAUUGCAUUCGAUACUGGGAAGCUAGAGUAUGGGAGAGGAUGGUAGAAUUUCAGGUGUAGCGGUGAAAUGCGUAGAGAUCUGGAGGAAUACCGAUGGCGAAGGCAGCCAUCUGGCCUAAUACUGACGCUGAGGUACGAAAGCAUGGGGAGCAAACAGGAUUAGAUACCCCCGUAGUCCCUGUCUCUUAUAC